UGGUGUGCAGGGGGUGGAAUA
rnacentral:miRNA from 2 species